UUUUCCUGUGAAGCAGAGAUUUUUUCCUUGACCUUUGGAAACAGAGGCUUCACUUCACUUUCUUGGGAUUCAAGUUUCAAGCCUGGCCUCAGUCCUGGAGGUUUAGUAUCAUUUUUCAGAGGCAUAGAGGAUCCAGUUAUUCAGAACUGACAAGUCCUGUGGAAUGAAUUACUGCCAUGUCCAGAACCAAGUCUGUGCUACAAAGGAGAUGAUAGCUCUUAGUCUGGGAGAAGUAGGCUACAACAGCUGCUGUGGGCCCCUCCGGGGAGAAAAUACAAAAGAAAUGCAUCCUUGGCAUAAAAGAAGAAGAAGAUGAAGAAGACGAAGAAGAAGAUCAAGAGGAGGAGGAAGGGUUCCCUAUACUUCAGUUAUUUUUAAGGACACACAGACAAGGAAGGUUCUCUUCUUAUAAUAAGCGUCACAUAUUGUGUAAGGAACCAUAUCCUGUCUGAUCUUGAAAGCUAAGCAAGGUCAGCCCUGGUUAGUAGUUGGAUGAGAGACCACUAAUGAAUAUAAAGUGCUGUAGGCUAUAUUUCAGGGAAGGGAACUGGCAACUUGCCUCUGAGUAUUCCUUCCCUAAGAAACCCUAUGAAAUUCAUGAGGUUGUCAUAGGUCGACAGCCAACUCAAAGGCAUAUACACACACAGUGAGAGAACAGAAUAAGGAACUACAAUGUUGUCAUUUCAGAGUGUUUGACCUCUCUUCAAGAAUAAACAUCACAGCCAUGUGAUUUCUGAAAGAUGAAAAGACUGCAGUUCUCUAUUUACUUUAUAUAUUUAAAACUAGGUCGUGCAAUUUAUUUUUAAGGGAUUUUGUGAGGGUGGGGAAGGGGAAACCAAGAGAGUUUAGUUCCAGCAUUUCAGGACAGUGCAUGGCUUAUCCUCAUAGGAAGAGUAAUCCAUCUAAUCAGGAAGGUGCAUAUUCUUGCCUUUGCAAUAGUGCAACCACAAAGUAGACAUAAUUUUCCUGCAAUAAAGACAAAUUACACAUUUCCUCCUUGUUUCUCUUCCACUCAAAUCCUAUCCAAGGGUGAGAAAG